rnacentral:rRNA from 1 species
CGCCGGCUAACUACGUGCCAGCAGCCGCGGUAAUACGUAGGGCGCAAGCGUUAUCCGGAAUUAUUGGGCGUAAAGAGCUCGUAGGCGGUUUGUCGCGUCUGCUGUGAAAUCUGGGGGCUCAACCCCCAGCCUGCAGUGGGUACGGGCAGACUAGAGUGCGGUAGGGGAGAUUGGAAUUCCUGGUGUAGCGGUGGAAUGCGCAGAUAUCAGGAGGAACACCGAUGGCGAAGGCAGAUCUCUGGGCCGUAACUGACGCUGAGGAGCGAAAGGGUGGGGAGCAAACAGGCUUAGAUACCCUGGUAGUCCACCCCGUAAACGUUGGGAACUAGUUGUGGGGUCCAUUCCACGGAUUCCGUGACGCAGCUAACGCAUUAAGUUCCCCGCCUGGGGAGUACGGCCGCAAGGCUAAAACUCAAAGGAAUUGACGGGGACCCGCACAAGCGGCGGAGCAUGCGGAUUAAUUCGAUGCAACGCGAAGAACCUUACCAAGGCUUGACAUAUACGAGAACGGGCCAGAAAUGGUCAACUCUUUGGACACUCGUAAACAGGUGGUGCAUGGUUGUCGUCAGCUCGUGUCGUGAGAUGUUGGGUUAAGUCCCGCAACGAGCGCAACCCUCGUUCUAUGUUGCCAGCACGUAAUGGUGGGAACUCAUGGGAUACUGCCGGGGUCAACUCGGAGGAAGGUGGGGAUGACGUCAAAUCAUCAUGCCCCUUAUGUCUUGGGCUUCACGCAUGCUACAAUGGCCGGUACAAAGGGCUGCAAUACCGCGAGGUGGAGCGAAUCCCAAAAAGCCGGUCCCAGUUCGGAUUGAGGUCUGCAACUCGACCUCAUGAAGUCGGAGUCGCUAGUAAUCGCAGAUCAGCAACGCUGCGGUGAAUACGUUCCCGGGUCUUGUACACACCGCCCGUCAAGUCAUGAAAGUCGGUAACACCUGAAGC